rnacentral:rRNA from 1 species
AACGCGAAGAACCUUACCUGGGCUCGAAAUAUAGAGGACGACACCAGAAACGGUGUUUCCCGAAAGGGUCUUUAUAUAGGUGCUGCAUGGCUGUCGUCAGCUCGUGCCGUGAGGUGUUUGGUUAAGUCCAGCAACGAGCGCAACCCUUAUCGUUAGUUGCCAGCGCGUAAUGGCGGGAACUCUAACGAGACUGCCUGGGUUAACCAGGAGGAAGGUGAGGAUGACGUCAAGUCCGCAUGGCCUUUAUGUCCAGGGCUACACACGUGCUACAAUGGUCGGUACAGAAGGCAGCGAAACCGUGAGGUGAAGCAAAUCCUAUAAAACCGAUCUCAGUUCAGAUUGUAGUCUGCAACUCGGCUACAUGAAGUUGGAAUUGCUAGUAAUGGCGUGUCAGCAACAACGCCGUGAAUACGUUCCCGGGCCUUGUA